AGGCCAGGGAAGUAGUGAGCAGCAGAGGGAAGAGGGGUCGCUCGUCUGCAGGCCAGCACUUCCGCUCUGGGUGUCACCGUCCGUAGGAGUCAGAACUUGUGAAGGUUUGGCGGUAAACGUGGUAAACGUGUGUUGAUGUGGUUGCAACCCCAGCUCAGCGUCCUGCCCUCCACCGCACUGAGUUUAGCGCUAUUUGCGGUUUCUGGUGUCCGAGCUGUUCAGUUUGUUACAACCUAAACCUCGUACAGGAAAGCACUCCUCCAAACACGGUGAGACGACUAUGUCUUACAUUCACGGUUUAUCAUUUAAGAAAAAGAAACUAGUUAGACAUUAUAUUUCCAUGUAAAUUUAAAUCAUAAUUUUCAUUGUAUAAAAUGUAAAUGCAGGACUGGGGAGCAGACUCUGUGAGCAAGGGAGUGCUGAGGAUUGGCAAGGCUGUGGGUUCCAUCCCCAGUCAAAGAACACAGUAAAACAAGAGGAAAAUAAAGGACAUUUAUGGAUAUGUGCAUUGAUUAGAUUGACUUUAUUUACAUGGAAACUAUGUGUGCUUGUACAGGUGAAAUAAGUGAUGUUUUUGACAAGCAGUAGCCAUGCCUCCUGUCCUCACCUCUGAUCCCUAAGGCAGAUGCUGGGGACUUAGUUACUACCCACAGUUCUGUUUGCAUUGCUAAUACUACCAGCCCUGAGCCUGCUGGCCAGCAAAGGGGUUGGACAGAAUAU
rnacentral:lncRNA from 1 species